GACGAACGCUGGCGGCGUGCUUAACACAUGCAAGUCGAACGGGAGUACUUUGAAAGCUUGCUGAUAAGUACUUUAGUGGCGGACGGGUGAGUAACGCGUGAGGAGCUGUCUUAUGCAGGGGGACAACAGUUGGAAACGGCUGCUAAUACCCCAUAAGCCGAGAGGUAAACGGAGCAAUCCGGCAGAGGAGGUACUAGCGUCCUAUCAGCUAGUAGGUUGGGUAACGGCCGACCUAGGCGAAGACGGGUAGCCGGCCUGAGAGGGCGAACGGCCACACUUGAACUGAGAUACUGCCGUGACUCCGACGGGAGGCAGCAGUGGGGAAUAUUGGGCAAUUGGGGGAACCAUGACCCAGCGACGCCGCGUGGGUGAAGAAAUCCUUCGGGAUGUAAAGACCUGUUGUAUGGGAAGAGCAGAAGACGGUACCAUACGAGGAAGCCCAGACAAACUACGUGCCAGCAGCAGCCGCAG
rnacentral:rRNA from 1 species